UAGGGAAUCUUCGGCAAUGGACGAAAGUCUGACCGAGCAACGCCGCGUGAGUGAAGAAGUUUUUCGGAUCGUAAAACUCUGUUGUUUGAGAAGAACAAGGACGUUAGUAACUGAACGUCCCCUGACGGUAUCUAACCAGAAAGCCACGGCUAACUACGUGCCAGCAGCCGCGGUAAUACGUAGGUGGCAAGCGUUGUCCGGAUUUAUUGGGCGUAAAGCGAGCGCAGGCGGUUUCUUAAGUCUGAUGUGAAAGCCCCCGGCUCAACCGGGGAGGGUCAUUGGAAACUGGGAGACUUGAGUGCAGAAGAGGGGAGUGGAAUUCCAUGUGUAGCGGUGAAAUGCGUAGAUAUAUGGAGGAACACCAGUGGCGAAGGCGGAUCUCUGGUCUGUAACUGACGCUGAGGCUCGAAAGCGUGGGGAGCAAACAGG
rnacentral:rRNA from 1 species